rnacentral:rRNA from 1 species
AUUGAACGCUGGCGGCAGGCCUAACACAUGCGAGUCGAACGGUAACAGGAAGAAGCUUGCUUCUUUGCUGACGGGUGGCGGACGGGUGAGUAAUGUCUGGGAAACUGCCUGAUGGAGGGGGAUAACUACUGGAAACGGUAGCUAAUACCGCAUAACGUCGCAAGACCAAAAAGGGGGACCUUCGGGCCUCUUGCCAUCGGAUGUGCCCAGAUGGGAUUAGCUAGUAGGUGGGGUAACGGCUCACCUAGGCGACGAUCCCUAGCUGGUCUGAGAGGAUGACCAGCCACACUGGAACUGAGACACGGUCCAGACUCCUACGGGAGGCAGCAGUGGGGAAUAUUGCACAAUGGGCGCAAGCCUGAUGCAGCCAUGCCGCGUGUAUGAAGAAGGCCUUCGGGUUGUAAAGUACUUUCAGCGGGGAGGAAGGGAGUAAAGUUAAUACCUUUGCUCAUUGACGUUACCCGCAGAAGAAGCACCGGCUAACUCCGUG